rnacentral:rRNA from 1 species
AACGAACGCUGGCGGCAGGCCUAACACAUGCAAGUCGAGCGAGGACACCGGUUCUAGCGGCGGAUGGGUGUGUAACGCGACGGAAUGUGCCCUUCUCUACGGCCUAGCUCUGGGAAACUGGGAGUAAUACCGUAUACGCGCUAAUGGGGAAGGAUAUAUCGGAGAAGGAUGAGCCCGCGUUGCAUUAGGUAGUUGGUGGGGUAAUGGCUUACCAGGCGGAGGAUUCAUAGCUGGGUAGAGAGGAUGGUUAGCCACACUGAGAUUCGGACGCGGCCCGGACUCCUACGGGAGGCGGCAGUGGGGGAUCGAGGACAACGGGGGCAGCCCUGAUGUACCCAUGCCGGGUGAGUAAUGAUAGCAUUAGGGUAGUAAAGCUCUUUCAGCUGUGAAGAUAAUGACGGUACCUGCAGAAGAAGCCCCGGCUAACUCCGUG